CUUCACUGCAUUAGCUGUUCACACUAAACCAGACAGGAUCUCAGAACAAAUGAGGUAGGACUGACGAAUCUACCCUGCCAUGCUGCCAGCAAAUUCUAGCAAAGGCUUACCCACUGCAACCCUGCACAGGACCAGUGGAGGCAGGGUGUAAUUGAAUACAACAUUCUUUUGGAAUGCGCAGGUAGGUUCCUGUAGAACAAUGCUGUGGUCCAUUAUUCACCACUCAGCAUUUUCCUUUAUUAGUAAAGAAGCACAGUUACUUCUGAGCAAGAAUAUGUUGGAAAAAGGUUCUCCAGAGAUUAAGAUGCUGUAACCCCAACACUGACCAGAUUUUCACUGUUGAAAUCUUACCCACGCUUCAAGGCUGAGCUCAGGAAACUGAUGAGAGAGGGCGUCCUUCUGGGGAAAAUUAGUCAAGCCACUGGAACAAGUCUGUCCCAGAUAAAAUUACUUUCUUACUCAUGUGGAGCUUUUUUUCCCCAUCUCAACCAUUACGGUAUUUCCUCAGGGUAGUCUCUCAAUGAGUUACUUCCACAAGAAUUCCUAUCUCAAGCUCUAGGAACCUGACCUGAGAUUGAUAGAGUGACAAAGUCUAGUUCAAAAAGACUUCUCACAGUGCUUGGAUCAUAGUAGAAGAUCAACGAACACUCAAGAUUUGAAUAAAGUUUAUGCUAAGUAG